CUCACUGCUCUGCAGCUAGGUCCUUCCAAGGUGCCUGGCACACAAACAGCUUCUCAUGGAACAUUUCUGAAUGAAUUUCAGAGAGGUAAACACUUGAGUGGGAAACACAGACAACUGAUCUCAGCUUCCCUAAGGUCCUUUCCACUGGGGAGCCCGGCCUGACCUGCGGAACCGCUGGCUCUUCUUUGUAAAGACCACACUGGUCACUGAUAGUUGCUAGUUAUGUGUGGGCUAUUCGGUGAGCUCUGGGAAAUAGAGCAGAGACACUGGCACCAGAGAGGCUGAAGUUCAAAUCCCUUAUCUACGCCACUCGAUGGUCACGUGAUUGUAAACAAGUUACUUAACUUCCUUCGAUCAUCAUUUCCUAACCUGUAAAAUGGAGGUGACAGCUUCCUAGUUCAUAGUGUUGUUGGACAGAUUGAUAGAGAUAAUGUAUGUCUAAUGCUGAACCCAGACUCAGGGCCAGAGUAGACAUCCCAUCAAGGUUGCUUUCUCCCACCUUCUUGCUCCCCACCACCCUGCUGUCCAUGCACUUCCCCUGUGCUCACCUCUUUUUAUGUGGGACUCUUCAGCUACUUUCUCUAGGGCUGUGUAAGCCAUGUGGUGGCCCUGUGUUUUGUUAGCCCCAGGGCUACAAAUCAACAGCCUCAGUGAUCACACUUCCAGCCAGUGGCCUGAUGUCUUAGUUGGGUUCCCCCAGAACUGGCACCUGUGACAAGGAUUCCAGUGUAGGUGGUUUGUCUGGGAGAUGAUUCUAGAAGCCACAGUAGAGAAGGGAGACAGGGCGAGGAAUGACGUGUGAUCAUGCAGGUCACCACUGUGCCCAUCUGGAGCUUAACCCUCAGGGAACUCUAGAAGACAAUUAUUCUAUCCAAGGAGCAAGGGAAUUAAGGCAUACACCUGGCCCCAACAGUCUGUCUUUUCACAGGGGUGAGGGUGGCAUGGCAGUGACCCUCUGACACCUCCUAUGUGCCACAUUCAUGUGCAGGACUGAGAAUGUGUGGCACCAGAGAAGCCUCACGGGCACGGAGCUGCAGGUGCUGGCAUGGAAGGGGUGACAUGGAAAUAUGGGCAAGACACCAACAGCUUCUGCCUCAACUGGUGAACAGCUCCUAAAUUCAUGCCUUCCUGGUCACAGCUUCCACGUUUUCUUGACCAAAGAUCUGUCUGUCCAUUUCUGAUGGAGGGGAGUUGAAGUCUUUAACUAUGACAGUGGAUUCAUCUAUUUCUCCUUGCAGUUCUGUCAGUUUCUGCCUCACAUCGUUUGACUCUCUGUUGUCAGGAUGACCUUGGGCUUAUUUGGCUAAGAGAAUGCAGCAGACAAGACAACGUGCCAGUUCUAAGCCUAGGCCUCAUGAGGCCUUGAAUCCUUCUCCUUUUCUCUCUUGGGUCCUUAUCCGCCACCACGUGAACAAGCUGAGGCCAACCUGUUGGUUGGAGAAAGAGAGACCACACUGAAGAGUGUUGAGCUGUCUUCUGAGGGCAUCCUGUACCAACCAGACCCAGCUACCCCAGCACAAACUGACAACGACUGAGGCCAGAGGAAAUCAAAACUGCCUACCUGAGUCCAGACCACCUGCCAGUCUGAAGAACUGUGAGCCAAGUCAUUGUUUGAACAGCGAAAGUUAUCAGAUACACUUGUGCAGAAGCCAUACUAUGGGUGGCCUCGACCUGCUUCUGAACUGCUGGAAGUCCACCAGGAACUUGCCUUUUGCUCUCUGCAUGGCUCUGUGCUUCUAUUCCAUUUUUGAUCCAAGGAGAAGUACAGAAGAGUACAUAAAAUAUAUGUACAAAUUUUAAAAGAAUACUAAAAUGAGUGCUCAUUGUGACCACCACUAGCUGUGUCUUUUACAUUUUUGUCUUUGUAUUUUUGUUCUCUUGUUGUCAUGUGCUUGGAGCAGUGGGGCUUCCAGCAAUACCAUCUGAUAGAAUGCACCUGUCCAUUCUAACUGCAGGUGGUGCUCUAGAGACCUCUGUGAGUUUCAGUGCCAAACCCCUGAGUCCUAGGAUACCCUGAUCUCUUGCUGGUAGUGGCUUUGUUAGCAGCCCCAGUGCUUUAUAAUUAUUUAGCUCCAGUGUCUCCCUAAUAAAUAUAUAUAUUGAAAACUAAAUAUGCAUAAUUGUAAACUUGAAAUGGAUAAGUGUUUAAUUAUCUUUAAAAAUUAACAUUGCCAUUACUUGUUCAGCAAUAAUUAUACACCUUUUACAUGCAGCAAUUAAAAAAUGUUUUAAUGUUUAUUUAUUUUUGAGAGGGAGAGAGACAGAGACAGAGAGAGU